CUCUUUCUUAAACAGCCAUCACAAGACAUUCACAGUUCAGGGUGUGAAGCAGGUACAAUCUCGCCAAAGCAACUGGAAAUCUGAGAAGAGACAAGACACACACAUAAACGAAUAUCCUACAAACUCUUUGAAUGCAGUUACUUUCAGCCUGUAUUGCUUCACGCAUCGAGACCACACAUUUCCUAGGAGUGAAGGCAAGCCGUGUCCUCACAGCACCUCAUACAGAGGAGAACCAGACUAUAUUGCUUUUUUUCCUUCUGCGACCUCUAUUACUAUGAAGCAGCUCUGACGAAA
rnacentral:lncRNA from 1 species